CCUUUACUUUAACAUGGAGGCACUUGCUGUGACAUGAUAAAAUAAGUGCUUCCAUGUUUGAGUGUGG
rnacentral:pre_miRNA from 17 species